CGAUAGCCUAGGAGAUACACCUGUUCCCAUGCCGAACACAGAAGUUAAGCCCUAGUACGCCUGAUGUAGUUGGGGGUUGCCCCCUGUUAGAUACGGUAGUCGCUUAGC
rnacentral:rRNA from 1 species